rnacentral:tRNA from 1 species
GCGGAAGUAGCUCAUCUGGUAGAGCACAACCUUCCCAAGGUUGGGGUGGCCGGUUCGAGGCCGGUCUUCCGCU